rnacentral:siRNA from 1 species
AUGCAAAAGGACUCUCCAAAUGAU